GACGAACGCUGGCGGCGUGCUUAACACAUGCAAGUCGAACGGAAAGGCCCUGCUUUUGUGGGGUGCUCGAGUGGCGAACGGGUGAGUAACACGUGAGUAACCUGCCCUUGACUUUGGGAUAACUUCAGGAAACUGGGGCUAAUACCGGAUAGGAGCUCCUGCUGCAUGGUGGGGGUUGGAAAGUUUCGGCGGUUGGGGAUGGACUCGCGGGUUAUCAGCUUGUUGGUGGGGUAGUGGCUUACCAAGGCUUUGACGGGUAGCCGGCCUGAGAGGGUGACCGGCGACAUUGGGACUGAGAUACGGCCCAGACUCCUACGGGAGGCAGCAGUGGGGAAUCUUGCACAAUGGGCGGAAGCCUGAUGCAACAACGCCGCGUGCGGGAUGACGGCCUUCGGGUUGUAAACCGCUUUCGCCUGUGACGAAGCGUGCGUGACGGUAAUGGGUAAAGAAGCACCGGCUAACUACGUG
rnacentral:rRNA from 1 species